AAUUCCAGUACCAAUAAUUUUUUAGGUCUCAGGUAUAUGACUUAUGACAUAGAACGCCUAUGGCGAGAUGAUCGAUGUGCUUCGUACGAUAACCUAUGCUUGUGACAACAUGGGAUUAUCUCUAUCAUGUGCAGCAACAGAAGCCUGUCAUGACAAUGGUAUUUAAGAUGCUUGAAUUCUCUGCAAUCAAAGUUACUUUCUGAACUAGCAAACAUUGGCCUGAAAUUUACAUUUGUUGGUAUAACCACAGGGAAAUGUGAAAUUUUUUAGUUCUUACUUUUCGUAGCAAUUUUAUCUAUUAUGUGGAAAAAACAUCAUGCCUUUCUCAGAAAAUUUGUUACUUUGAACUUUGAAAGCAUCUAUCUUUGAUCUGGCAUUGCAGGACAAUGUCGAUCAUUAGAGAACUGUGGCCACAAAGAUAGAGUCUCAUUUAAAAGCUUGGUACCACACAUUAGCUGAUCUUUUGCAAUUGAUGAAAGCGGCCGGUUAAUGAAAUAUUGAAUCCAUGGAGCAUUAAUGAUCAUUGUCGUUCUAUAUAAGUUUUGUCCCUUCUUUCACCAUAAUAAUCUAAUGGACUACAGAUUCAUCAUCAAUCAGUCAGAUUUCAAGUGCCAGGAUUCCAUAAAGUUAAUUAUCCCAUGUAUUAGUCUGCCUCGAAGUAGCUAAUAUGACAGGCUUUAUGUGAUCAGAUUUUCUAUAUAGCAUUGUAAUUUCUGAAUAAAGUAUCCUGACCGUUUCUAACAUUUUGGAUCAAAUUUCGUAGCGAAUAUUUAGUAGUUUAGUAACAGUAAUGUCCCUUCUCCAUGGGCAGUCGCGUCAUAUAUAUAGUUUACUUAUUGGCAGUAUUGUCCAAUUGUCUACAUUUUAACUGGCAGUACAUACUUCUCAUGAUUUCCAUUUUCUCCUCUGUCAGGGUGAUAUUAAUUAAUGGAUAGAUAUAAACUUAACUUGGGUAGAUGUUUUGUUGGAGAAGGGGACAUAAAGUGGUUGGACAAGAAUCGGACUACGAGAGGGGGAUGCAGCCAGAGGUUGCUGGGGAGGAGGAAACAUGCGGAACAUGACUGGCUUUUUAUGCAUACAUUUUGUCAGAUUAAAGAUUGUUUCAUUCCUAACUUUUAAGGACUAGAUUAUGCUACGCCUACUAAUUAUGAUGUUUAAGCAUCGAAGAACAGUGAUAUAUUUAAAGGAAACUUCAGUGGUAUGCAAACUAGGUUUGACAAAAUAAAUGGAUCAAUACUUGCAUUAAGAUAUAUUUGGCGAUCAAUCAUGAUGUUCUAUGAAUCGUCAAACACAAGGCAAAGAUCUGAAAGGCAAAACUCUAUCCAUUGCCAGCUGGUAAAACCAUUUGAAUUUUAUGCCACUUUUGAAUAUUUUGACAUUAUUUCAUACCAUUGAUGCGAGUUGUGCAAAUAAUCUCUAGAUAUGGAGAUUUAGAGAAGAUUAGAACAUAUGACAUCAAAGUUGAGAUGUUUGAGCACAUGAGGAGUGCCAAGAAGAUUCGAGAGAUGGAUACUAAAGAAGAGCUUACAAACGCAUUUGAUAUUAUCGGCCAAGAUAAACAUAAGAUUGUCAAGACGAAUAAGGGCGUGAUCAGUGUGAACAAAGCUCAUGGAGCAAUCAUGGAUUCAUAAGCAGUGCUAGAAGCUUCCAAAAACUGGCCAUGUCGCUGGUAAAAACAAUUGACUACUCUCACGCAAAUGGUCAAUCAGUCUGCCAAAAUGAAUAUAACUUCCUCUAUCAUAGAGAUGUUAUUAAGGUGAAAACUGGUAUUCAUGAUAUUGAUAUUUUCAAGUGACAUGAAGCCACUUUACUCUGUAAUAAGAGAAAUAAUAUUGAAAUAGUAUUAUAUUAUUAUUCAAUCCUGGACCUGUUGGCAGGUCCUAAAAGUUGAUUUUGUUUUGGUUAUGGCUUGUGUUGUAUCCAA